UACGUAGGGUGCGAGCGUUUGUCCGGAAUUAUUGGGCGUAAAGAGCUCGUAGGCGGUGUGUCGCGUCGGCCGUGAAAACCUGCAGCUUAACUGUGGGCUUGCGGUCGAUACGGGCAUCACUGGAGUUCGGCAGGGGAGACUGGAAUUCCUGGUGUAGCGGUGAAAUGCGCAGAUAUCAGGAGGAACACCGGUGGCGAAGGCGGGUCUCUGGGCCGAUGACUGACGCUGAGGAGCGAAAGCGUGGGGAGCGAACAGG
rnacentral:rRNA from 1 species